UCAGCAGGCUGGGAUCUGCUCUCUGAUUUGGGAAUGCUACAUGCUUCCUCUGCUACUUCCCCCUCCAGCAAGGCUGGAAAUAGGAGUUUGUUUAUACGGUGGAUUACAUUGAAUAAUUUCUCUAUAUUGAACACCUUCAUGCCUGGAAUGAAGCCUACUUGGUCAUGGUAUCUUUUAUGAGUUUUUGGAUUCGGUCUGUCCGGAGCUGGAGUUUCUUUGCUCAGAGCAGCUGGCACUGGGGAUCUGUGGUGGAUGCUGUGGACCACUUUCAUCCCUUUUCUCCCUGGAAGCCUCCAUGUCAUUGCUCUGGGUUCAGCAGCCCCUCCUCUCAUCAAUUUCAGAGUUUUAAAUCCUCUGCCUCUCAGCUAUGGAGCAUGUUAGUCACCGCCACUUGGGAUCAACCUGCUCUCAAAAUUGUUAUGUAUAAAUAGUUCAUUGUUUAAACUUAAUGAUUUUUUGUUCUUCCACCACCUCCAUGUACAUUAGCAUAUCUGUCAUUGUCCUUGUUCAGCAUAUAUUUGUGUUUAUGUGUGUAGCAGAAAAAAAUAAUAAUUAAAAAGAUUAUGAAUAUGAAAAAGAACCGAAAAGGAGUAUGUGGGAGGUUUCUUCCUUAUCAAGGAAGAUAAGGAGAAGAAUUAUGUUACUAUGGUAUUAACUCAAGAAAUAAAGAAAAUCAACAAAAUACACUGGAGAAAAAAAGUCAUCUUCAACAAAUGGUGAUAGGAAAACUGGAUGCACACAUUCAGAAGAAUUAAAUUACACCCAUAUCCACUAGCUUCACUUUUUUUGUUUAACAACUACAACAAAAGAGCUGCAACCACUGAAUGAUUAAAGGACAGUGUUGAGUGUUAUAUUUUAUGUUUAAUAUAUUUUAGUUGAUUUUGUAUAGAAACGAUCCAGGUUUCCAUAUAUCGCAAAAGAAUAUCUACUUUUUCAUAUGUCACUUUUAAAAAUAAGCAGCUCUUCUCCUGUGUACUGUUUGGGACAGAGUUGAGAUCACACAAACCACAUGCUCAACCUCUAUGAAAAGAAUCUUAAACAAAUAUUACAUUGUGGCCAGUGACACAAUAAAAUGUCUCUAUUAAAUGGCUUAAAGUAUCCUGCUUACAGCUUCAUUAUCUUUGUUAAAGGUUUAUAUGGCUAUUUUGGGUAUC